rnacentral:lncRNA from 1 species
GGAUUUCAUUGUACUUCAUAGCUUGCCAGUAUUUGACUGAAGACACUUUCCUUGUGAAGGCAGACAUGUUUCAGUGCCUAUUUUGCUUUGUUAAACCUAAUAGUUAACUUUGUUAUUAUGCCUAUAUGACUACUAACACUGUAAUAAAAAUCAUUUUAAUAGUCCUAUGAAGCAGACCACAUAAACCAAGAACAUUUAUUUUCAUUGAGGGCAUGUGCUAAUUUUUUAUUAAGAGAUACAUUAAACAUUGAUACAUCCAACCUCUGAUUGAACCUUCAGAGUUGUCACAUCUAGGGGUAGCUGAAGAUUUAUUAUGCAAUAUAAAAUUAGGCGUAUACAGUAAGCUUCAUAAUAAAUGACCUUUGCAGACUGGAGAUUGCCACAUAGAAUAGUUUCUUUUGUUGCACAACAGAAAGGGUUUUGAAAAACAAAUAUAAAGACAUAGAAGCUGGAAAUUCUAAAAUGAAAAAUAUUCUCAGAGAAGUUCCAGUUCUAUUUACUGUUAAGAAAAUAUAUGCUAUAAAGAUUAUCUUUCAGUGAUGGAAAAUCGAAAUCUAGUAGUUAGACAAACAUCUUUUGGCAACAUGUUUUUGAUAUACUAUAGGUAGAUACUGCUAAAGGAUAAGAUAAGAAGUCUUACCAGCUAAGAUUUUGUUGUAUAUCAGGAAAUGCUUAUUAAAGAUUUAUUAAAAAGCUCACUACAAAAAGACUUUUGUGGUGCAUAUCACAUGUAAGUUAAUGGAACAAUAAGAUAGCUUGGUAGAUGUAAAUAUGUAUUAAACAGUAAGGAAUGGUAUAGAAUGACAGAAAGGUUAACCUCUUUGUAGCAUAUUUAGAUCAUUACUUUUUCUUAUCUCUGUCUUUUCUGUUGAUUUAAAUACACAGCUGGAAGACUGAAAGAUGAUUGUUCAAGAGCACAGGCAGCCUUCAGUGGACAAUCAGAAUGUGCCUACAGCUGGAGAAACUCACUGGCAUGACGCCUUUGUUGCUCAUAAAUCUGAUUUCACAGAACUUGAAAAGAAGGUGAAGAAGUCAGCUCAAUUUUCACAAGAGAUGUGGUGGGCAGCUGGGUAGUUGAGCUCUACAACUGCUCUCUCACUCCUCCUCCUCAAAGGAAAGAGAGAGAAAAUACACUGGGGAAAAAGGAAAGGGGGGAGAAAAUACAACAAAAACGCUACAAUGGUUGUGAUAAGGACAGGGAGAUCGCUCAACAAUUAUUGCCACAGGGAAAAGAUUCAGCAUAGAAAAUUUAAUAAAAUUUGUUACCUAUUACUAACA